rnacentral:rRNA from 1 species
UACGUAGGGGGCUAGCGUUGUCCGGAUUUACUGGGCGUAAAGGGCGCGUAGGCGGCGCAACAAGUCACUUGUGAAAUCUCCGGGCUUAACCCGGAGCGGUCAAGUGAUACUGUCGUGCUAGAGUGCGGAAGGGGCUACUGGAAUUCUCGGUGUAGCGGUGAAAUGCGUAGAUAUCGAGAGGAACACCUGCGGCGAAGGCGGGUAGCUGGGCCGACACUGACGCUGAUGCGCGAAAGCCAGGGGAGCGAACGGGG